rnacentral:rRNA from 1 species
UUUUUUUUUUUUUUUUUUUUUUUCUGUCCCCGCGACGCUGCGGCGUGCCUAAUACAUGCAAGUCGAACGAACUCUGGUAUUGAUUGGUGCUUGCAUCAUGAUUUACAUUUGAGUGAGUGGCGAACUGGUGAGUAACACGUGGGAAACCUGCCCAGAAGCGGGGGAUAACACCUGGAAACAGAUGCUAAUACCGCAUAACAACUUGGACCGCAUGGUCCGAGCUUGAAAGAUGGCUUCGGCUAUCACUUUUGGAUGGUCCCGCGGCGUAUUAGCUAGAUGGUGGGGUAACGGCUCACCAUGGCAAUGAUACGUAGCCGACCUGAGAGGGUAAUCGGCCACAUUGGGACUGAGACACGGCCCAAACUCCUACGGGAGGCAGCAGUAGGGAAUCUUCCACAAUGGACGAAAGUCUGAUGGAGCAACGCCGCGUGAGUGAAGAAGGGUUUCGGCUCGUAAAACUCUGUUGUUAAAGAAGAACAUAUCUGAGAGUAACUGUUCAGGUAUUGACGGUAUUUAACCAGAAAGCCACGGCUAACUACGUGCCAGCAGCCGCGGUAAUACGUAGGUGGCAAGCGUUGUCCGGAUUUAUUGGGCGUAAAGCGAGCGCAGGCGGUUUUUUAAGUCUGAUGUGAAAGCCUUCGGCUCAACCGAAGAAGUGCAUCGGAAACUGGGAAACUUGAGUGCAGAAGAGGACAGUGGAACUCCAUGUGUAGCGGUGAAAUGCGUAGAUAUAUGGAAGAACACCAGUGGCGAAGGCGGCUGUCUGGUCUGUAACUGACGCUGAGGCUCGAAAGUAUGGGUAGCAAACAGGAUUAGAUACCCUGGUAGUCCAUACCGUAAACGAUGAAUGCUAAGUGUUGGAGGGUUUCCGCCCUUCAGUGCUGCUAGCUAACGCAUUAAGCAUCCGCCUGGGAGACGCCGACGUU